rnacentral:misc_RNA from 1 species
GGAAACGUAGUGAACACAAUGGUUCGGUGUAGAUUUUACAGUUUGCUCUUUUUAUGCAUUUAUUUUGUUGUCGUUAUGUCUAUGAAACCUCACCCCAAAGUCAAAGGCAAUGUAGAGUCUCUCCUUAAAUUGACUCCAUGGAACUAGAAACACUUGAACUCGUCCUUCAAAGUGGAUACCCCCGUCACUGUGGAUGUAUCUCUCACCUCUCACUACAGACUGACCGGGAAACACCUCAACAAGUAUCUCAAGCUACAAAAGCAAAGGGAGUGUGCAUCCAUUCUAAAAGCAAUACCCAACACAAAAGGAAGAGACGGUGUGUACACGAUAUACCCGGAUAUAAAGACCAGGAAGUUGGUGUACUGUGACAUGACCACGGACGGCGGAGGGUGGACAGUAAUUCAAAGACGUAUGGAUGGGUCUGUAAAUUUUUAUCGAUCUUGGCAGACAUACAAGGACGGAUUUGGAAAACCACAAGGAGAAUAUUGGCUAGGAAAUGAAGAUAUUCACAUGCUCACAUCAAAAACUAAGCAAGAGUUACGAGUUGACCUACAAAAGUUUUCGGGUGAAAAGGCUUACGCCAAAUAUUCCAGGUUUACUGUGGGAAGUGAGUCUGAAAAAUACAAGUUAUCUGUCGGGGGAUACAGCGGAACGGCGGGUGAUAGUCUCGCAUAUCAAAACAGUAUGAAGUUUUCUACAAGAGACCAAGACAAUGACUUAUGGAAUAAACACUGUAGCGUUGAACAUCAAGGAGGAUGGUGGUUUAAGGCAUGCAUCCAUGCUGAUCUUAAUGGACCUUAUCUGAAAUCGGCUAAAAUCACUGCAAUUAGUAUGAAUUGGUACAAAUUCGGAAAUGAACACCGUGCUUUAAAGAAAGCAUCAAUGAUGAUCAGAUCCAAAAUUUAAAGUUGUUGUGAAUGCUAUUAAUUAAAUUAAAAGCUACAUUCUU